rnacentral:rRNA from 1 species
AAAAGUUAUUAAGGGCUUGUGGCGGAUGCCUUGGCUCUAGGAAGCGAUGAAGGACGCGGUAAGCUGCGAUAAGUUUCGGUGAGGAGCACACAUCCUUUGACCCGGAAAUUUCCGAAUGGGGAAACCUGCCGUUUAGACGGUAUUGCUAACUGAAUUCAUAGGUUAGUAAGGCUAACGAGGGGAAUUGAAACAUCUUAGUACCCUCAGGAAAAGAAAUCGAAGAGAUUCCCUCAGUAGCGGCGAGCGAACGGGGAGAAGCCUAAAUCUAGUACAUGUUAAAGAUGUCAGUCGUUGUGUAUUAGAGGUCGUGGGAGUCUUCUGAGUGUCUGACAGCGCUCGAAGGAGUUACAAAGUUUAUGUAUAGCAGAAUGUUCUGGAAAGUUCAGCGAAAGAGGGUGAUAGUCCCGUAAGCGAAAUGCAUAAGCCUCCUGAAGAAAUUCCCGAGUACCACCGGACACGAGAAAUCCAGUGGGAAUUCAGGCAGACCACUGUCUAAGGCUAAAUAUUCCCUAGAGACCGAUAGUGAACUAGUACCGUGAGGGAAAGGUGAAAAGAACCCCGAGAGGGGAGUGAAAUAGAAACUGAAACCGCAAGUCUACAAGCAGUCGAAGCACUAUUCUAAUGUGCGACGGCGUACCUUUUGCAUAAUGAGUCAGCGAGUUACCUUUACAAGCAAGCUUAAGCCGUUACAGGUGUAGGCGCAGCGAAAGCGAGUCUUAACUGGGCGUUUAGUUUGUAGGGGUAGACCCGAAACCCGGUGAUCUAACCAUGGGCAGGUUGAAGCGUGGCUAACCCCACGUGGAGGACCGAACAAGUGGAGGUUGAAAACUCCUUUGAUGACCUGUGGUUAGGGGUGAAAGGCCAAUCAAACUGGGUGAUAGCUGGUUCUCCUCGAAAUAUAUUUAGGUAUAGCGUCAAUUAAUUUUAUCCCGGAGGUAGAGCACUGAUUGGGCUAGGGGUCUUCACCAGAUUACCAAACCCUACCAAACUCCGAAUGCCGGUGAUAACUAUUUUGGCAGUCAGACGUCGGGUGAUAAGGUCCGGCGUCAAAAGGGAAAGAGCCCAGACCGUCAGCUAAGGUCCCUAAAUCAAUGCUAAGUGGUAAACGUUGUGGCGCUGCUGUGACAACUAGGAGGUUGGCUUAGAAGCAGCAAUCCUUUAAAGAAAGCGUAAUAGCUCACUAGUCUAGCGGCGCUGCGCGGAAAAUAUAACGGGGCUUAAGCAUUGUACCGAAGCUACGGGUUCAUACUUUGUAUGAGCGGUAGAGGAGCAUUGAAGCGUAGGCUGAAGGUCGAGCGGAAGCACGGCUGGACGAACUUCAAGAGAUCAUGCUGACAUUAGUAGCGUUUAAUGGUGGGGAAGAGCCACCACGCCGAAAACUCAAGGGUUCCUGGGCAAGGAUCAUCCUCCCAGGGUUAGUCGGGUCCUAAGACGAGGCCAAGUGGCGUAGUCGAUGGCAAAUGCGUUAAUAUUCGUAUACCUGAUUACUUUUAUACUUGCGGAGGGACGCAGUAGGAUAUCCCAGCCUGUUAUUGGAUUCAGGUGUAAGCGCGUAGGAGGUCACUUAGGCAAAUCCGGGUGGCAUAACUCUGAGACGUUAAUGCGAGAGUCUACGGACUCGGAAGUGGGAAAAGCCAUGCUGCCAAGAAAAGCUUCGUAAGGUUUUGUAAUCAGCCCGUACUGUAAACCGACUCAGGUGAGUGGGGUGAGAAUCCUAAGGCGAUUGAGAUAACUUUGGUUAAGGAACUCGGCAACUUGAGGCCGUAACUUCGGGAUAAGGCCUGCCCCUGAUGGUGUAAGCACUUGCUGCUGAAGCUGUUGGGGGUCGCAGAGACCAGGGAGUAGCGACUGUUUAUCAAAAACACAGGGCUGUGCUAAUUCACAAGAAGAUGUAUACAGCCUGACGCCUGCCCGGUGCCGGAAGGUUAAGAGGAUUUGUUAGCGUAAGCGAAGCGGAGAAUCGAAGCCCCGGUAAACGGCGGCCGUAACUAUAACGGUCCUAAGGUAGCGAAAUUCCUUGUCGGGUAAGUUCCGACCUGCACGAAUGGCGUAACGACUUCUCCGGUGUCUCAACCAAAGACUCAGUGAACUUGAACUCGCAGUGAAAAUGCUGCGUUCCCGCAGAAAGACGGAAAGACCCCGUGAACCUUUACUAUAGCUUGGCAUUGAGCACUGAAACAUCAUGUGUAGGAUAGGUGGGAGACUUUGAAACUAGGACGCUAGUUCUAGUGGAGUCAUCCUUGAAAUACCACCCUUGUUGUUUUGGUGUUCUAACCUGCGCCCGUUAUCCGGGCGGGGGACAAUGUCUGGUGGGUAGUUUGACUGGGGCGGUCGCCUCCCAAAAAGUAACGGAGGCGUACGAAGGUUCCCUCAGCCUGAUUGGAAACCAGGCGUCGAGUGCAUUGGCAUAAGGGAGCUUGACUGCGAGGCCUACAAGCCGAGCAGGUGCGAAAGCAGGUCAAAGUGAUCCGGUGGUCCCGCGUGGAAGGGCCAUCGCUCAACGGAUAAA